rnacentral:rRNA from 1 species
UACGAAGGGGGCUAGCGUUGUUCGGAAUUACUGGGCGUAAAGCGUGCGCAGGCGGCUGCUCAAGUCAGGGUGAAGGCCCAGAGCUCAACUCUGGAAUUGCCUUUGAGACUGAGUGGCUUGAGUACGGGAGAGGUGAGUGGAAUUCCCAGUGUAGAGGUGAAAUUCGUAGAUAUUGGGAAGAACACCGGUGGCGAAGGCGGCUCACGUGGCCCGUAACGUCGAACGCUCAUGCACGACAGCGUGGGGAUCAAACAG